CUUGUCGUCUGAGCAGGUUAGUAUGUGCCUCGGAACGCAGGGUUCCCAGAUGGCCGAUUUCUAUUGGCCAUACAACUGGCCAAUGAAGGACGACCACGCGUUGUGGGGGCCGCCCACCGAUGUGGUGGGGGCCUCGAGCCCCUCUGGCCAGGUCAUGUGACCAGACCUCGACCCAACCCCGCCCUAGCCCGCGCGCUUAGCUCCCGAUCUGGGAGUUUAAAGAACGCGCGCGAGUGCCGCUGUCACUGCUCAGGACCGGGGUCCUGCCCCAGCUCGCCUUCUCUCGUCCCCUCUGCGGUGUCUCUUGCAGCACCUGGCACCCGGCAGGCUUAAAAUCUACUCGCUAUGUGACAGACAGAAGGAAAGACUCUUGGAGGAAUUCAAUAAACAAAACAGGAAGAAAGUGCUUUGAAGCUAAGAAGGGACUUUGAGGGACACAUCCCGAAUUUUUAUCAGGAGCUUACCGAAGGGUCAGGAUUGGGUGAUGUUGCGUAAACCCAUCUUCCCGGCUCAAAUAGUAACCGUGAUGGUUAAAUGAGUAAAGGUGUUCUGCUUAGAAUCGCA